rnacentral:rRNA from 1 species
UACGUAGGGUGCAAGCGUUGUCCGGAAUUAUUGGGCGUAAAGAGCUCGUAGGUGGCCUGUCGCGUCGGCUGUGAAAACUCGGGGCUCAACUCCGAGCUUGCAGUCGAUACGGGCAGGCUAGAGUUCGGCAGUGGAGACUGGAAUUCCUGGUGUAGCGGUGAAAUGCGCAGAUAUCAGGAGGAACACCGGUGGCGAAGGCGGGUCUCUGGGCCGAUACUGACACUGAGGAGCGAAAGCGUGGGGAGCGAACAGG